AUUUAUCUAAUAUAUUCAUAGUAUAUCUAACUUCCAAUUAGAAAGUUUGUAUUUAACAAGAUAAAUA
rnacentral:tRNA from 1 species